AGACCCGACAUGAAUCACCACACGCGAAUAUAGCUUAGCUGCCUCCAAACACUCAACGACAUCACCAACCUCCAUAUCCCGUUGAUUCUUACACACUCUUCUUCUCUUCUUUUCUCUUUUUUUUCACUGUCUCUCGCAACUUCGCCUUUUCCUCUUCUCCGAUUUUCUCUCUACUUUCUCUCGCUGCAUUUUCUCCGCCAUUUCCAUUUUCCACUCAUCAAAUCUCGGUAUCGGUGUUUCCGCGAUUCAAUCACUGAGCUGGAACAUUCUAAAAGGUAGUUUGGCUUUUGUAAUUUGAAUGAAUACCUUUUAGCUUCAUCAGAAAUUGCAUAAUGGAAGAUGAGGAAGAACUGAAAGAGGUGAAAUUGUCUGGUAAUGGAUUACAUCCUCACGAAGUAGUAGAUAGUGGUGAAAAAGAGUUUGUUGAUGGUCGUGAUCAGGAAAAUGUGAUUGCUACCCAUAGUAUUAAGGUUGAUGAUGUAGAUGGAAGGGUAGGCUUGCAAGGUCAAAGUACCGUUUCUGCACCCACAUUAAUGGAUGAGGACCAGUUUGAGGAAGUAUCUUUGAAAGAUCAAGACAAGAGUAAUGAGUACCAGGAUUCAAACCAAUUACCAGAUUUUGAUAAUGCACAUCACCUAUUUGGUGGAAAUGUGGAGGAGUCUAAAUCUUCAUCUGGGACGUACUCGAUAGAGCAUGAUUCCUCCCCUGUUGCUGAAAUGCAACGUGAUAAUAUUCCUUAUAGUCCUGGGUCAGAUGGGCAGUCUAGCCCAACAAUUAGCUUUGAUUCUACUACUGUUAAUUCUCCACCAAAGCCUAAGCAAAAACAUGCUAAACCAAAUGUAUCUCCAGAACUGCUGCAUUUAGUUGAUUCUGCUAUUAUGGGAAAACCUGAAGGUGUGGAUAAGCUGAAAAAUAUUGCAAGUGGCUCAGAAGUGUUUGGGACUGGUGAAGAAACGGAAAAUGUGGCUUUCUUAAUAGUGGAUUCGCUUCUUGCAGCCAUGGGUGGCGUUGAAAGUUUUGAGGAGGAUGAAGAUAAUAACCCUCCUAGUGUUAUGCUGAACUCCCGGGCUGCCAUUGUUGCAGGUGAACUUAUUCCUUGCCUUCCUUAUGUAGGUGAUUCUGGUGAUUUUAUGUCACCUAGGACACGGAUGGUUCGGGGAUUACUUGCCAUAUUACGGGCUUGCACAAGAAACAGGGCAAUGUGCUCAAUGGCUGGUCUGUUAGGAGUGUUGUUGAGAACCGCAGAAAACAUAUUUACUGUGGAUGCUGGCUUAAAUGGACGGAUGAGGUGGGAUGGAACACCUUUGUGCCACUGCAUGCAAUACUUGGCUGGUCAUUCUCUUAGUGUUAUUGAUCUUCAUAGUUGGCUUCAAAUCAUUACAAAAACACUUGACACAAUGUGGGCACCACGAUUAAUGCUUGCUUUGGAGAAAGCAGCUAGUGGAAAGGAGUCAAGAGGACCGGCUUGCACGUUUGAAUUUGAUGGUGAAAGUUCUGGUUUACUUGGUCCAGGCGAGAGCCGCUGGCCAUUUAUCAAUGGUUAUGCUUUUGCAACAUGGAUUUACAUUGAAUCGUUUGCCGACACAUUAAAUACAGCUACUGUUGCUGCUGCAAUUGCUGCAGCUGCGGCGGCUAAGUCAGGUAAAUCAUCAGCUAUGUCAGCCGCUGCUGCUGCUAGUGCACUUGCUGGUGAGGGUACAGCACACAUGCCACGUCUAUUCAGUUUUUUAACUGGUGAUAACCAGGGUAUAGAGGCUUAUUUUCAUGCUCAAUUUUUGGUUGUUGAAACUGCUAGUGGAAGGGGAAAGAAAUCAUCCUUGCACUUUACCUAUGCAUUCAAACCACAAUGCUGGUACUUCAUUGGUCUUGAACAUAUAGGCAAGCAGGGUAUUCUCGGGAAAACAGAAAGUGAAGUUAGGUUAUAUGUGGAUGGAUCUUUAUAUGAAAGUCGUCCUUUUGAGUUUCCUCGAAUUUCAAAACCUCUUGCAUUUUGCUGCAUAGGAACUAACCCUCCUCCUACCAUGGCUGGGUUGCAACGGCGCCGUCGUCAGUGCCCUUUGUUUGCUGAGAUGGGCCCUGUUUACAUCUUCAAGGAACCUAUUGGCUCAGAAAGAAUGGCACGCCUAGCUUCUAGGGGAGGGGAUAUAGUGCCUUCUUUUGGUAAUGCAGCUGGUUUACCCUGGCUAGCAACAAACGCCCAUGUGCAGAGCAGGGCAGAGGAAAGUGCUCUUUUGGAUUCAGAAAUUGGAGGUUGCAUUCACCUGCUCUAUCAUCCUAGUUUGCUUAGUGGGCGCUUCUGUCCUGAUGCUUCACCUUCUGGUGCUGCAGGAAUGCUUCGACGUCCGGCCGAGGUUCUUGGGCAAGUUCAUGUUGCUACUCGAAUGCGACCUGUGGAUGCCUUGUGGGCAAUGGCCUAUGGUGGUCCCUUGUCUUUGCUUCCCUUGACAAUAAGCAAUGUACAUGAGGAUACAUUGGAGCCUCAGCCAGGGAAGUCUCCCCCUUCUUUAGCCGCAUCUCUUGCUGCCCCAAUAUUUCGAAUUAUAUCUGUGGCUAUCCAAUAUCCAAGGAACAAUGAGGAAUUGUCUCGUAGCAGAGGGCCUGAGAUUCUUUCAAAAAUUUUGAAUUAUCUUCUCCAAAUCUUAUCUUCGCUUGAUGGUAGAAAGCAUGAUGGUGUUGAAGAUGAGGAACUUGUUGCUGCUGUUGUCUCCGUUUGUCAAUCUCCAAAGAUCAACCAUACACUUAAAGUUCAGCUGUUCACUACGCUACUUUUAGAUUUACAAAUUUGGAGUUUGUGCAGUUAUGGUAUACAAAAGAAGCUUCUAUCAUCACUUGCAGACAUGGUUUUCACCGAGUCAUCAGUAAUGAGAGAUGCAAAUGCCAUUCAAAUGCUUCUUGAUGGCUGCAGAAGAUGUUAUUGGACUGUUUCUGAAAUUAAUUCAUUGAAUACUUUCUCUCUGACUGGGGCAGCGCGUCCCGUGGGUGAAAUCAAUGCUUUGGUUGAUGAGCUCUUGGUGGUAAUUGAACUAUUAAUUGUGGCAGCAUCACCUUCGUUGGCCUCGGAUGAUGUCCGAUGUUUACUUGGGUUUAUGAUUGAGUGUCCGCAACCUAAUCAGGUUGCUAGGGUGUUGCAUCUCUUCUACAGGCUGGUUGUCCAGCCAAACACUUCUAGAGCUCACACAUUUGCAGAAGCAUUCCUGGCAUGUGGUGGGCUUGAAACUCUUCUUGUUAUUCUCCAAAGUGAAGCCAAAGCUGGAGAUGGUGGUCUCAUAGGAACAUCAUCAAAGAACCCUGAAAUUCAAAAAACAGAGUUUAGUGUUGAGAUUGCAGAAGAAAGUCAGGAAGAGGGAGUAGUGGAGGACAACAAAAGUGAGACCACCUUAAAAGAUGAUGACCAAGGUUCUCAUUCUGUUGAUGGUGGCAAUGGUCCUAAUAAUGGUUAUAGUGACAAUAAAAAGAUGACAUUUACCGCUGAAAUUCCUUCUGUCAAGAAUUUAGGAGGAAUAGGUUUAUCAAUUAGUGCAGAUAGUGCCAGAAAAAAUGUGUACAAUGUUGAUAAAAGUGAUGGCAUUGUUGUCAGAAUUAUAGGUCUAUUAGGAGCUUUAGUAGCUUCAGGACAUCUGAGAUUUGGUUCCCGUGCCGGUCCUGAUACAACAACCAACCUUUUGGGUAUUGGACUCCAUGAUGGAGGUGGUACCAUGUUUGAAGAUAAGGUUUCUCUUCUACUUUAUGCUCUACAGAAGGCUUUUCAAGCGGCACCCAAUAGGCUAAUGACCAACAAUGUGUACACAGCUCUGUUGGCUGCCUCGAUCAAUGCCUCUUCAUCAGAAGAUGGUCUAAAUUUCUAUGAUUCGGGUCAUCGCUUUGAGCACCCACAACUUCUACUGGUGCUUCUGCGAUCACUCCCAUUUGCUGCUAGGUCACUGCAGAGCAGGGCUCUACAGGAUCUUCUAUUUUUGGCUUGCAGUCAUCAUGAAAAUAGAGUCAGUUUGACAAACAUGGAGGAAUGGCCUGAGUGGAUUCUUGAAGUGCUGAUCUCAAACUAUGAGAUGAGUCCAAGCAAACUUUCUGAUUCAACAAGCAUUGGGGACAUAGAAGACCUUAUACACAAUUUCCUUAGUAUCAUGCUGGAGCACUCAAUGCGUGAAAAGGAUGGAUGGAAGGAAAUUGAAGCGACAAUUCAUUGUGCAGAAUGGCUUUCUAUUGUUGGUGGAUCCAGCAUAGGAGAACACCGAAUAAGACGUGAAGAAUCAUUGCCUAUAUUUAAGAGGAGGCUCUUGGGGGGCCUGCUGGACUUUGCUGCUAGAGAACUGCAGGUUCAGACUCAAGUUAUUGCUGCUGCUGCUGCUGGAGUUGCUGCCGAGGGUUUAUCACCUAGAGAUGCUAAGGCGGAGGCUGAGAGUGCUGCCCAACUUUCUGUAGCCUUAGUAGAGAAUGCUAUUGUGAUACUCAUGCUUGUUGAGGAUCACCUACGCUUACAGAGCAGACAAUCUUCUUCCCGUGCUGUAGCUGGUUCUCCAUCCUCCAUUUCUCAUACUUAUCCAACCAAUAAUCGCUCAAUUUCACUAUCAACAAUUGAAGAAUCAUCAGAAAUGAUGGAAGAUGGCAGAUCCUUAUCUAGUGGCUCUGCAAGAGUCCCUCUAGAUGUCCUUUCUUCAAUGGCUGAUGAAAGUGGUCAGAUCCCUACUUCAGUGAUGGAAAGGCUUGCUGCUGCAUCAGCAGCUGAGCCUUACGAAUCUGUUUCUAGUGCUUUUGUGUCAUAUGGGUCCUGUUCUAAGGAUUUGGCUGAUGGCUGGAAAUAUAGGAGUCGAUUAUGGUAUGGUGUUGGACUUCCGCCAAAUACAGUUCCAUUUGGUGGUGGUGGGAGUGGAUGGGACUUUUGGAAGUCUGCCUUAGAGAAAGAUGCCAACGGCAAUUGGCUUGAGCUUCCUUUGGUGAAGAAAUCCGUGGCAAUGCUCCAAGCAUUAUUGCUAGAUGAGUCUGGGCUGGGUGGUGGUCUUGGUAUUGGUGGAGGAUCAGGUACUGGAAUGGGAGGGAUGGCUGCACUAUACCAGCUUUUAGACAGCGACCAACCAUUCUUGUGCAUGCUUCGAAUGGUUCUUCUUUCAAUGAGAGAAGAUGAUGAUGGAGAAGAUCAUAUGCUGAUAAUGAAUCCAAGUAUUGCGGAUCCAGUGUCUGAAGGAAGAAAAUCACGCUCAGAACUUUUGUGGAGUGUUCUCUCUCCUGUUCUCAACAUGCCAAUAUCUGAUUCGAAGAGACAGAGAGUCUUGGUGGCAUCUUGCGUGCUUUAUUCAGAGGUAUACCAUGCUGUCAGCAGUGACAGAAAACCUCUUCGUAAAAAGUACCUUGAGGCUAUUUUACCACCAUUUGUUGCUGUGUUAAGGAGGUGGCGACCCAUUUUAGCUGGUAUACAUGAGCUUGCUACUGCUGAUGGUUUGAAUCCUCUUAUGGAAGACGGUCGUGCAUUGGCUGCUGAUUCCCUGCCAAUUGAGGCAGCUCUUGCUAUGAUAUCCCCAGCCUGGGCAGCUGCUUUUGCUUCUCCACCUGCUGCAAUGGCAUUAGCUAUGGUUGCAGCUGGUACUUCAGGUGGUGAAAGCCAAGCUCCUACAUCUGCUUCCCAUCUUAGGCGUGAUACGUCAAUGCUGGAACGGAAACAGAAUAAGCUCAAUACGUUUGCAAGCUUUCAGAAACCUGCAGAAGUCCCUAAUAAGACACCACCCCUUCCGAAGGACAAGGCUUCUGCAAAAGCUGCUGCUUUGGCAGCUGCUCGUGAUCUUGAACGAUUUGCAAAGAUUGGUUCUGGUAGAGGUCUUAGUGCUGUUGCAAUGGCUACAUCUGCACAGCGGAGGAGUGCUAGUGAUAUGGAACGGGUUAAGAGGUGGAAUAUUUCUGAAGCAAUGGGAGUUGCCUGGAUGGAAUGUUUGCAACCAGUUGAUACAAAGUCAGUGUAUGGGAAAGAUUUUAAUGCUUUUGCAUAUAAAUAUAUUGCUGUUCUUGUUGCCAGUUUGGCCCUAGCAAGGAACAUGCAACGUUCUGAGACUGACAGGCAUGCUCAUGUUGCUGUAAUUGCUCGGCAUCGAAUCACAAUUGGAGUCCGUGCAUGGCGCAAACUUAUUCACCAUUUACUUGAAACAAAGAGUCUUUUUGGGCCUUCUGCAGAUCACUUAUGCAAUCCACCUCGUGUUUUCUGGAAGCUAGAUUUCAUGGAAAGUUCAUCUAGGAUGAAAAGAUGUUUGCGGAGGAAUUACCAAGGGUCUGAUCAUUUAGGAUCUGCAGCCAAUUAUGAUGAUUCUGCUGAGGAGAGAAAUGAGCAGAACACACCAAUGUUGUCAUCAGAAGCAUUCUCACCAGAGACUGUCAAUGAAUAUGAAGAACAAGGAGAAAUAGACAAUUUGGAUGCUAGGGUUAAUGAUAUUGAAGAGAAAGGAGAAAAUGAGACUAGGUUUUCUGAAUCUGCAGAGAAGAGUGUGCAGUUAUCUUUAGAAUCUAGUUGUACACAACUUGCAAGUGAUGAACACAUUGUGCAUAGUUCUUCAGCCAUUGCACCUGGGUAUGUUCCCAGUGAGCUUGAUGAAAGAAUUGUUCUUGAGCUGCCAUCAUCAAUGGUACGGCCACUCAAAGUCGUACGGGGAAUUUUUCAAAUAACCAAUAAGAGGAUAAAUUUUAUAAUUGAUAGCAGUGAGAGCAGAACCACAAAGGACUCUGUAGAUUCCAGUUCUGAGGUGGGAGACCAAGAAAAGGAUCGUAGUUGGUUAAUGUCAUCCCUUCAUCAAAUCUAUAGUCGGAGGUACCUCCUUAGAAGAAGUGCUUUGGAGUUAUUUAUGGUGGAUCGUUCAAACUUCUUCUUUGACUUUGGGAGUAGCGAAGGGCGAAAAAAUGCUUAUCGAGCAAUUGUUCAAGCGCGGCCUCCACACUUAAACAAUAUAUAUCUGGCAACUCAGAGGCCUGAACAACUUUUAAAAAGAAUUCAACUUAUGGAGCGCUGGGCUAGAUGGGAGAUCAGCAAUUUUGAAUAUCUAAUGCAACUCAAUACACUGGCUGGGCGUAGUUAUAAUGAUAUUACCCAGUAUCCGGUCUUCCCAUGGAUUCUUUCUGAUUACAAUUCAGACAGCUUGGAUCUUUCUAACCCUUCUUCUUAUCGCGAUCUUUCAAAGCCUGUUGGGGCACUGAACCCAGAGCGUCUGGAGAGAUUUCAAGAGAGAUAUGCUAGCUUUGAUGAUCCAGUUAUUCCAAAAUUCCAUUAUGGAUCACACUACUCGAGUGCAGGAACUGUUCUGUAUUAUCUUGUUAGGGUUGAACCAUUCACUACCCUUGCAAUUCAACUGCAAGGUGGAAAGUUUGACCAUGCAGAUCGGAUGUUUUCUGAUAUUUCUGCUACUUGGAAUGGAGUUCUAGAGGACAUGAGCGAUGUGAAGGAAUUGGUUCCUGAGCUAUUUUACCUCCCUGAGGUCCUUACAAAUGAAAAUUCAAUUGAUUUCGGCACAACACAGUUGGGAGAAAAGCUUGAUACUGUAAGGCUUCCUGCCUGGGCUGAGUCUCCAAUUGAUUUUAUUCAUAAGCAUCGGAUGGCUUUGGAGAGCGAGUAUGUAUCUGCUCAUUUGCAUGAGUGGAUUGACCUUAUAUUUGGGUAUAAACAACGGGGCAAGGAAGCUGUUGCAGCAAAUAAUGUUUUCUUUUAUAUUACCUAUGAAGGGACAGUGGAUAUUGAUAAAAUCUCUGAUCCUGUACAACAACGAGCCACACAAGAUCAGAUUAGAUACUUUGGACAAACACCAUCGCAACUCCUGACUGUUCCUCACUUGAAGAAAAUGCCAUUAGCAGAAGUUUUGCAUUUGCAGACAAUAUUCCGCAACCCAAAAGAAGUCAAACCAUAUGCUGUUCCAUCACCUGACCGGUGCAAUCUUCCUGCGGCUGCCAUUCAUGCAUCUUCAGAUACAGUUGUGGUUGUUGACAUGAACGCACCAGCUGCUCAUGUUGCACAACACAAGUGGCAACCAAAUACUCCUGACGGCCAGGGUACUCCUUUCCUCUUUCAACAUGCGAAAACAACAUCAAGCUCCAGUGGUGGUACAUUUAUGCGCAUGUUCAAAGCGCCAGCUGCGUCUGGUGAAGAGUGGCAAUUCCCUCAAGCAGUGGCAUUCUCUGCAUCUGGAAUUAGAAGUCAUGCUAUCGUGUCAAUAACAUGCGACAAAGAAAUCAUUACUGGUGGGCAUGCUGAUAAUAGUAUCAGAUUAAUAUCCUCAGACAGCGCUAAAACCUUAGAAACAGCUUAUUCACAUUGUGCUCCUGUGACAUGCGUCAGUCUUUCGCCAGAUAGCAACUACUUGGUGACAGGAUCCCGGGAUACAACAGUAUUACUCUGGAGAAUACAUAGAGUACUUGUGUCUAACCCAGGUGUCAUAUCAGAACAUUCUCCCAGAACUGGUAAACCAUCUUCAACCAGUAGUGGUUCAUCAUCAAUCUUGACAGAAAAGGAUCGGAGGCAUCGUAUUGAGGGUCCUAUACAUGUGCUUCGGGGGCAUCGGAGUGAAAUACUUAGUUGUUGUGUUAAUUCAGAUAUUGGAAUAGUUGUUUCAUGCUCCCAUUCAUCAGGUGUUCUAUUGCACUCUGUAAGAAGGGGACGUCUAAUGAGAAGGCUAGAUGGUGUGCAGGCCCAUGUUGUCUGCCUUUCCUCUGAAGGGAUUGUGAUGACUUGGAAUGAGUCACAGCAUACUCUUAGUACCUUUACUCUCAAUGGUGCUCCGAUCGCAAACACACAGUUAUCUUACUUUUGCAGUGUCAGUUGCCUAGAAAUUUCUGUGGAUGGUAGGAGUGCCUUGAUGGGAAUAAAUUCUCUACCAAAUGGGGGAUCCUAUAAUAACAGCCCGGAUUUGCAGUUGACUAAGUCGGGAAUUGUCGAUUUUGAUUUAGAAUCAGAAGAAACAAAUGAAAGGAACAGAAUUGAUGUUCCAUCACCAUCGAUAUGUUUCCUAGAUAUGCACACCCUGCAGGUAUUUCAUGUGUUGAAGUUGGAAGAAGGACAGGAUCUCACAGCUGUGGCACUAAACAAGGAUAACACAAAUCUUCUAGUUUCAACUUCAAAUAAACAAUUGAUAAUCUUCACUGACCCAGCUUUAAGCUUGAAAGUGGUCGAUCAGAUGCUCAAGCUUGGCUGGGAAGGAGAUGGGCUUCGGCCUCUUAUAAAUUCAUAGCUUUUAGGAUACACACCAUUCGAUUACAGAUCUAAACAAUAUGAAUUAGGAAAAUUAGGUUGACUUUAUGAUACUCCUUUUUGUUCGUUGGUUUGUAUCCCUAUUGUUCAUAUAUCUGUAAAAUAUGUAUAACAUCCAAUUGAUACCACAAGUUUUAGUUUCUUAGAUUUAGUUGAGGUUCUUUGCUAUUACAGUUGUGCUGAAGCGUUGGAUAUUGGACAAGCUUCUGAGUUGUGACUUGAGGCAAGUUAACCGAUAAGCGUUUAUAAUGAGAUUGGAGCUUGAGGGGUUACAUAGCUAGUUAGGUCCUACUCUGCUCAUAUGACUUGUUAUUUGACCAAAAUGCUUUAGAAAAUUGUGCGCGCGUGCGCCUGUGUAUUUUGGUUUACCAAGGGGUUGAUUUAAGUUGGGUUCUGAGGGGAAUAAAGGUUAAAAAUACAAUGUGAACAUUAAAAUUAAUUAUUAUGUAUUUAUGUAUAAAA